CAAAAUCAUGCUGUCUAGUAUAAGCAUUUAUACGGUGAACUGCGAAUGGCUCAUUAAAUCAGUUAUCGUUUAUUUGAUAGUACCUUACUACAUGGAUACCUGUGGUAAUUCUAGAGCUAAUACAUGCUAAAAACCUCGACUUCGGAAGGGGUGUAUUUAUUAGAUAAAAAACCAAUGCCCUUCGGGGCUCCUUGGUGAAUCAUAAUAACUUAACGAAUCGCAUGGCCUUGCGCCGGCGAUGGUUCAUUCAAAUUUCUGCCCUAUCAACUUUCGAUGGUAGGAUAGUGGCCUACCAUGGUGGCAACGGGUAACGGGGAAUUAGGGUUCGAUUCCGGAGAAGGAGCCUGAAAAACGGCUACCACAUCCAAGGAAGGCAGCAGGCGCGCAAAUUACCCAAUCCCGACACGGGGAGGUAGUGACAAUAAAUACUGAUACGGGGGCUCUUUUGGGUCUCGUAAUUGGAAUGAGUACAAUCUAAAUCCCUUAACGAGGAACAAUUGGAGGGCAAGUCUGGUGCCAGCAGCCGCGGUAAUUCCAGCUCCAAUAGCGUAUAUUAAAGUUGUUGCAGUUAAAAAGCUCGUAGUUGAACCUUGGGUCUGGCUGGCCGGUCCGCCUCACCGCGAGUACUGGUCCGGCUGGACCUUUCCUUCUGGGGAACCUCAUGGCCUUCACUGGCUGUGGGGGGGAACCAGGACUUUUACUGUGAAAAAAUUAGAGUGUUCAAAGCAGGCCUUUGCUCGAAUACAUUAGCAUGGGAAUAAUAGAAUAAGGACGUGCGGGUUCUAUUUUGUUGGGUUUCUAGGACCGCCCGUAAUGAUUAAUAAGGGAUAGUUCGGGGGGCGUCAGUAAUUCAGCUGUUCAGAAGGUGAAAAUUCUUGGAAUUUGCUGAAAAACUAACUUACUGCGAAAAGCAUUUCGCCCAAGGAAGGUUUUCAUUUAAUCCAGGGGAACCAAAAGUUUAGGGGGAUCCAAAGAACGAAUCAUAAUACCCGUCCUUAGUGCCUUAACCCAUAAAACUCAUGGCCGAACUAAGGGAAUCGGGGCGGUGGUUUCCUAUGAAAGAACCCCGCUCCGGUACCCUUUACUAGAAAAAUCAAAAGUUUUUUGGGGUUCUGGGGGGGAAAGUAUUGGUUCCCACUAGGCUUGAAAAACUUUAUGAAAAAUUUGUAAGGGAAGAGGGUUCCCCCCUAAG
rnacentral:rRNA from 1 species